rnacentral:rRNA from 1 species
AGAGUUUGAUCAUGGCUCAGGAUGAACGCUAGCUACAGGCUUAACACAUGCAAGUCGAGGGGAAACGACAUCGAAAGCUUGCUUUUGAUGGGCGUCGACCGGCGCACGGGUGAGUAACGCGUAUCCAACCUGCCCAUCACUUGGGGAUAACCUUGCGAAAGUAAGACUAAUACCCAAUGACGUCUCUAGAAGACAUCCGAAAGAGAUUAAAGAUUUAUCGGUGAUGGAUGGGGAUGCGUCUGAUUAGCUUGUUGGCGGGGUAACGGCCACCAAGGCGACGAUCAGUAGGGGUUCUGGAGAGGAAGGUCCCCCACACUUGGAACUGAGACACGGUCCAAACUCCUACGGGAGCA